GGCUGUUUGGAUUAUUACAGUUAAGCUAUUAUGACUUUGGCAAAAAAAGACACUUUGGAAUGUUAUGCAGAAUACCAUAGAGAAUAUAUUCUGACUGGUACAGCUGUUUCAUUUGUACAUGGAUUGUGUCAAGUUCUCAGUGAAAGACCAUUUAGAGCAGAGCACAGACCAGACACUUGUAAUAGUGUGAUCAACACUUGUAAUGGUGUGUUUAUUACUUAUAGAAUAAACAGGACAGGGAUGAGUAGACCAGGAUACAUCAUCAUCAGUUUAGGUUCUCUGAAGUUAGUCUCCAGUCCACAUCCAAGCACACCCCAGUUUAUCUCUUAGAUGGAGAAUGCAUAAGUUCCUCUCCCGGGAUUAAAUACCAGUUGGACAGCCAUGUCUGUGUGCCAAAUAGCAUAUACAGAGAAUAGGUAGGGGAAGGUAAUACAAGGUAAAGGGAGGGUAAUAGAAAUGAAAAGCCCCCUCCAGGCAAUGGACAUCAUUUAUUACCCCUGUUCAGGCUGUUCUAUUCUAGAUUUACUGACUCCAGAGAAUAGCUGCUCUUCCUUUACCCCACUAGAGUUUCGGAUUUUGUCAGAGGGCGGUCAUCUCCCCCUAAAGCAAAUACUUCACGUCAUUAGUAGCUAUUAUGUACAUUAUCAGCCAGAGAGAUAGCCAGUGGCCAGUUACAGUAUAGCACAUCUGUGCAUCCAGCAGUACAUCAGAAUAUACAACCAAUUAAGUGAUAAGAGUUUGUCAUUACCUGAGUACAUUUUAACGUUACAGGGCUGAGGAUACAACUCAUCUUGAACAUAGUGAUGAAUGUGAUAUCAGAUUGGUGGAGGAUAAUUAUUUCAUAAUAAGUUGUGAAUUACCAAAGAAGAGGAAGGUAAAUUUAGAUGAAGAAAAUGGUGAAGACACUGCAUUGUUUAGAAAGUAAGCUUCAAAGGCCAGAGACAUUGGACAAAAAGGACAGAAUGACCUCAAAUGGAGACAGGAAUAUCAGUGUCAAACAAGGUGAACAUCAGGAAGAAGCAGCUUUUCAUAGGGGAAAAAAAUGAUAAAUGUGGACAAAUAUGCCAACAUGGUGAUGAAGAAAUUCUUAAAAGAAGUCUGUAAUUAUUAGGAAAAAACUGAUUUAAAAGCUUCAGUGAAAUGAUAUCUCGGGACAUCUGUGGCUUUCACGGGAGAAACCACCUGCUGGAAAUAAACAAGGCCUAGGCUUUUAUCUCGAGUGCCUGAUGUCUGAAGUUUCAGGUAUGUCUAAUGCUUUAGGUAUGAGUUCUUUUUGAUCAGCUUUGUCUAGAUGUAAUACAUGGCAGGCAAUUUAAAUGCACACUGGAUUAAUUUUACUAGAACACCUUUGUGGUUUCCUUUAAUUUCUAUAUGAUAAUUGACUUCAGGAAGCGACCAGUAACAUAACAUUUCAUAAUAAAAUACCAUCUUGAUUUUACACGUUAGCUCUAAAGAAAAGAAAAGGGUCUUUAAAGGUGUAAGUUAGGCCACAUGUUUUUGUGAGAUAGGAGCUAUAACAAGAAUCAGAACCUUUAAGUAGAAGAUUUAGUAUAAUGUGAGAAAUGGUUGCAAAUCCUGCCUGGUAAGGAUCAGCAUGAAUCCCACUUCCUACCUGGAAAGAUUUAGUCCUCACCUUCCCACUUCUCCAUCUGCAUUGUGAGCAGCUCCACGUGGCACUGUCAUCCCCAGCCACUCACCCCUAGGUCUGUGGAUUCUGGCUACCACCUCAGCAGUCCACAUGACCCCCUCAACUUCAGCUGGACCCCAAAUUUGGGGUUUUUCUUUACCCCUCAGGGUACCAUCCAUAAGUAUAGCGGUCCCCAGCCCCAUGACUGGCUGCUGGCUCCCACUGUCCUAUGGGCUCAAUAAUUACCUGGAGUGACUCAUAGAAUUCACAGAGUAUUUAGUUGUCUCUUAUAACCAGAAAAGAUAGAAGGGUGAGGUCUGGGAGGGGUCCUAGCGCAGAGCUUCGAAGUUCUCUGAAGCGCCCACGUUCACUCUCCAAUCUAGAAGCUCCUUCUGAGCCUUCCAUGUUCUAGGGCUUUUAUGCCCUGUUGUCAUUUAGUUACUUGUGAGACCACCUUUGGGCUCAAUUAGUGAAAUGCAUCCACUAAGUUGCAAAAAUUAAGGUCAAAAGGGUCAUUGCCCCAUAAUCACCUAACUUCUUUUAUCCUUUUUGACAGUGAUUUCCAAGUCAUAAGAACGUAAGUGUAAAGAUAUUAAUAGGGUCAAAUAACUAAGGAGAAAACAUUUUAUAUAGAACUUGUGAGGCAAGAAUGCAGUUAAAGUAAAAAUUUUCUGCAGUCUUUGGAAAUCUCAAAGGCAGAACAUACCCUGUAUUGCAGUAUAAGUUCGUAAGAAUCUAGAAUUCAAUUGAUACUUUUCCUGUGGUUCAUCUACAGCAGCUACUCUGGUACAUUUGUAGUUUCAUUUUGAUUUAGUAACUCUUGUGAUCUGUGAGAAUUGAGUUCUUCCUUGUGAUUAUUUUAAUGGGAGGAUCAGGCUAGUGCAGAGCCAAACGGUUUUUCUUUGGAGAUGGUUUAUAAAUAAGUGGUUGAGGUCUAUCCCGAUGGGGCUUUUCCUAUAGACCCACAUCGUUGGAAACGCCUCAUAGAGUAACUGUGUGGUUUUGCUUUACUCACAGAACUAUUUGUUGGAUCUGUGGGAAGGAACUACAAGACAAAGUUGCUGAAAGUAUGAAAGAUCUCUAAUAGUUAUUUUUUUUACCUUAGGUAUUGGCAUAUCCUGCCAGUCUGCACUUUUCUUGGGUGAUUUACUUUAGGUACGUAAGUUUUAACUGGUGAGAAGUGUAAUCUUUUGGUGUACUGUUAAAGUUCACGUGAUGAAUUUAACUGUUCAACUGCUGAAUGAUACAGACAUGAACUAAAACUGCAUUCUGACUGAGCUGGCUGGAUACUAAACUUAUGUUCAGGCUUUAGUUUUCAUAGGAAUUUGAAAACAUUUAAGGUGUUUUAAAUUUUACAUUUGAUACUAUCUCCGUAGGAGUGAACAGGAUUUCGUUCAACUCAUUCAUGAUAGAGGUAAGUGGAAUAUUUUAAUCUAUUUGGAAAUUUAUCAGGGGUUGAUUCAGCAUUCCUGAAAAAAUAAAUUCUGAGUAAAACAUGCAUGCAAUUACAAUUAUAACUAGGAAUUAUUUUAGAGGGAAAAUACAGAAAUAAUAAAAAAUGUUGGCAAAAAUAUUGGCCACAGUAUUUGUAUGUGUAGAAUGAAGUAAACAGGAGGUUGCAUGUUGAGGCUAUAAAAUGCUGAAGUAUGAGUCUGUAUUGAGUUAGCAAAUGAAAUUCUUUUGCACCUUUUUUUUUUCAAGUUGCAACUUCAUGUUUUCUCCUAAUACCAUAUAUACUUGGAUAUGUUGAUUUAGUUAGGGAUAGUGAAUUGUUUUAAAGUAGUUCUGCUUAAUAGCACAUUUGAGCAACAAUGAAUUGACAUUGUCAGUGUAUUCUUUUAGUGAUUUGACUUUAGUUAAUUGCUAUGUAAGUUAAAUAUAGAAAGAGACAGGAUAAAGGUGACUAGUGACGAGGUUGAUAGUUCAAAUGCAGCUUAUGUCUCCUUUUGGAAUAAUUAGGAACAAAGAUGAAAUUGUACCUGUUAGAGGAACUUUGGAUUUUUAAGAGAUGUGUGAAAGUAAGCUUAUUUCUGAGAUGAGUAGCACUGCAGACUCUGAGAAGUAAGUGGGUUAUAAUUGAAUCAUAAUUGCACUGCAUGGUAUCUGCAUUCAGCAGUUUAUUCCUGCUGGGAUGUUCAAAGGACAGUGCGAUAGAAAUUCAGUAUCUGGCAUCGUUGGUUUUCUUGGCUUUGUGCAUGUUAAACCUGGUAUUUCUAUUGAUACAGUUUAUAUAGUUUGUUAAAUGCUGCCCAGUUAGUUAUAAUCUUCAUUUAGGAACUAAUUAUUUUAUUUUUCUAGGGUGUUUGAAAUUAAAAGUAAGGCAGAAUCUACGUACAUGGACUCUAAAACGUAAGGCUUUGUGUUUCUGUUGCUAUUAGCAGUUACACCUAUUGAUAGCAUUGUCAGCAACAAAGCAUCCAUAUAUAUAUUUAGAAGCGUGGUGUAAUAUAUAAGCUUCAGGAUCUAUUUUUAUGUAGCCUCAUUCUAUGUGAAAAUGGGCACAGUUGACCAUGGUGUCCAGAAAUUGUCAAUGUGGCUAAAUUAAGACAGGUUUUGCUUCCAUCACAGUGAACCAGCUGCAGUGGUGACAAUGAGACCUGUAACACUUUGCUCACGUAAUGAAUGAAAAUUAGAUGUAACAAAUAGAAAUGCACUGAAGACUAAUACUUUUUAGAUUUUUUUUCCAAAAUAAUUGACGUACUUUCUGUUUCUAGGGCCCUGAAGUGAAUGAAUAGUUUGAAGAAAUUCUAGGUAUGAAUUUAUUCCCUCAAAAAGGCAAUGCAAGACACAUCUUAGCUUCUCCUUUACAGAAGUAUUUAAGCAUCACAGUUCUUGAAUUUAUUAACCUAAAAAUCCUUAUAGCAGUCAAAUCUAGUGGUUUAUUAGCAGUACUUAAUAGGUAAGGAGGAAAAAGAAUAGAUGUUAAAAUGCCACCAUGUGUUUAUACUCCUUUUAUCAGUUAUGUAUGAUGUUGUGAUGAUGGGCAAAAUGUUCAACUGCUCUGACUGGGCUGAAUGAAAAUAGCCUUUCUGAACAUCCUUUCACAUUAGAUAAUAUGCUAUAUUUUAAAAUCUCAUAAAAGCUCUCAAGUAUAAUGUACCUUAAACCUGCAUGUUUCAAAAUACCUUUGAGUAAUGAUGAGAGAGCGUUACAAAUUGAUUCAGAUGUAAAUGGAAGUGGGAUCAUUCAGCCUCUUAAUUGCUUAGUUGUUUCAUAUAUUUAGUAUGAAUUAUUCGUUUCCAGAGUAUUACUUGGAAUCAGCUGGAUUGAGUAGAUAAAAAUUAACGUUUAAGAGUUUUAAAUAAUUUUCAGUACAUACUAAUUUUGCACUGGGUUUCUGUUUGCUUUGGAACUUAAUAUGAAUUUAACAUUUUUUAUAGGUGAGAAUUUUUGAAGUAUAUCUGUAUUUAAUUGGAAAUAAAGCAGCCCAACUAAAAGAAAAUUGUGACAGAAUUUUCUUUUUUUGUGCGUCAAGUCUGAGAUCUGGUGUGGAAAGUGGCUUGGACAGCACAGACAAUCCAAGUGAAACUUCUGGUUACUGUGCAGUGAUCUCUGGAAAUCUAACUUUAUAUUGACAACAGCAGUGGACUAGUACAGGUUCUUCUAAAAAGGGCUAUCCCGAAGAUGAAUCAAGCUUUGGAGGAACUAAGGUGACUUCGAUUGAUGGGCAGCAG